UGUGCAUAUCUUAUAUAAAAGAAAAAACCAAGUAAUCCUUGUAAUCCUUUUUAGUAUUUCGAAGAAGUAAUUGGUUGAGCCGUUCACAGAUGAUCCAAGGAGUUCUAGGAGAACUUCUUCGGAUUUGGAAAAGGAGUGAGUCGAUAAACGAUAAAGUAGAAAUAAGAUUUCUAAAAUCUAAAACAAAUGGAUGGUAAGUGUGCGUGAAUCGUCUAACGCACGAUCUUAUUAUGCGUAGUACCUCGUUGGACAACCACAAUGUCUAUGUUGCCUCCCGUAGAAAGUAUGUAUCUACGUAAUAACAGAACGACUUCCUCUUUGAAGAGGAAAAGAAGUAAAAAAAAGGGGGGGUCGGCUGCUCUUCAUUAGAAUAUCCAUAUAUAAUUCUGGUAAGAGCCAGUUCAUCGGAAUAGAAUAUUCAAAUUCGGUUGGAAAAACUUUCCUAUUAUCUAGAUCCCUUUUCCUUUCGAAAUAGGAACACGGGAAUUCUUGAAAUAGUUGUUUGAUUGAAAAGUUAUUAUUUGUAAUAAUACAUUACUUUACUUUUACUGGUACUGGAUUCCAGUAGAAUUUUGAAAUGAAGAUAUUGUUAUUUAACAAUGCUUUGCAGAACGAUCUAUGAAACAAUUGAUAGAGUUUGAUUACCCAACUUAAUCUUAAUUAGUAGUACCUCUAGAGUCCACUUCUUCCCCAUACUACGAGCGAAAGAGAAAAUGUAAAGACUACCAUUAAAGCAGCCCAAGCGAGGCUUACUAUAUCCAUGUAAAUUAUGUCCCCUAUCUCUAUGAAUAUGAAAGAAUUAUU